rnacentral:rRNA from 1 species
GGUUCAUUCAAAUUUCUUCCUUAUCAACUUUCGAUGGUAAGGUAUUGGCUUACCAUGGUUUCAACGGGUAACGGGGGAUUAGGGUUCGAUUCCGGAGAGGGAGCCUGAGAAACGGCUACCACAUCCAAGGAAGGCAGCAGGCGCGCAAAUUACCCAAUCCCGACCGGGGAGGUAGUGACAAUAAAUACUGAUACAGGGCUCUUUUGGGUCUUGUAAUUGGAAUGAGUACAAUUUAAACCUCUUAACGAGGAACAAUUGGAGGGCAAGUCUGGUGCCAGCAGCCGCGGUAAUUCCAGCUCCAAUAGCGUAUAUUAAAGUUGUUGAGGUUAAAAAGCUCGUAGUUG